rnacentral:rRNA from 1 species
AUUGAACGCUGGCGGCAGGCCUAACACAUGCAAGUCGAGCGAGCGGCGGACGGGUGAGUAAGGCCUAGGAAUCAACCUGGGAGUGAGGUAUAACGUCCGGAAAGGUGCGCUAAUACCACAUACGAUCAAGUGUCUCCCGAUGGGAUUAGCUGGAUGGUGGGGCAACGGCUCACCAAGGCGACGAUCCCUAGCUGGACUGAGAGGAUGACCAGCCACACUGGAAAUGAGACACGGUCCAGACUCCUACGGGAGGCAGCAGUGGGGAAUAUUGCACAAUGGGCGAAAGCCUGAUGGAGCCAUGCCGCGUGUGUGAAGAAGGCCUUCGGGUUGUAAAGCACUUUCAGCGGGGAGGCGUUAUCCGCCGAAGAAGCACCGGCUAACUCCGUGCCAGCAGCCGCGGUAAUAC